rnacentral:rRNA from 1 species
GCUAAGCCCUAAACAUUGAUAGCUCAGCUACCUCGCUAUCCGCCAGAGAACUACUAGUGAAAAACUUAAAACUCAAAGGACUUGGCGGUGUCCCAUUUCGACCUAGAGGAGCCUGUCCUAUAAUCGAUACCCCCCGUUUAACCUAACCUUAGCUCGCACGCUCAGCCUAUAUACCGCCGUCGCCAGUCUACCCCAUGAGGGUCCAUUAGUAGACUCAACAGCAGUCACUCGCUAACACGUCAGGUCAAGGUGUAGCAAAUGCUAAGGCAGUGAUUGGCUACAUUAUUUGUCACAAAACAAACGAAAUGCAGCAUGAAACACUGCACGAAGGUGAAUUUAGUAGUAAAGUGAAUAAGAGAGUUCACUUUAACACCGCUCUGGGACGCGC